rnacentral:rRNA from 1 species
UUGAACGCUGGCGGAAUGCUUUACACAUGCAAGUCGAGCGGCAGCGCGGGGGCAACCCUGGCGGCGAGCGGCGAACGGGUGAGUAACAUAUCGGAACGUACCCUAUCGUGGGGGAUAACACAUCGCAAGAUGUGCUAAUACCGCAUACGACCUGAGGGUGGAAGCAGGGGAUCGCAAGACCUUGCGCGACAGGAGCGGCCGAUAUCGGAUUAGCUAGUUGGUGAGGUAAAGGCUCACCAAGGCGACGAUCCGUAGCUGGGCUGAGAGGACGACCAGCCACACUGGAACUGAGACACGGUCCAGACGCCUACGGGAGGCAGCAGUGGGGAAUUUUGGACAAUGGGGGCAACCCUGAUCCAGCCAUGCCGCGUGAGUGAAGAAGGCCUGCGGGUUGUAAAACGCUUUCGGCAGGAACGAAACGGGGAGCUCUAACAUAGCUUGCUAAUGACGGUACCUGAAGAAGAAGCACCGGCUAACUACGU